GAGCGGUAACAGGUGUAGCAAUACAUGCUGACGAGCGGCGAACGGGUGAGUAAUGCUUCGGAAUAUACCCUAUGGUGGGGAAUAACCAGCCGAAAGGUUGGCUAAUACCGCAUACGUCCUACGGGAGAAAGCAGGGGAUCGCAAGACCUUGCGCCGAUGGAUGAGCCGAAGUCGGAUUAGCUAGUUGGUGAGGUAACGGCUCACCAAGGCGACGAUCCGUAGCUGGUCUGAGAGGACGACCAGCCACACUGGGACUGAGACACGGCCCAGACUCCUACGGGAGGCAGCAGUGGGGAAUAUUGGACAAUGGGGGCAACCCUGAUCCAGCGACGCCGCGUGUGUGAAGAAGGCCUGCGGGUUGUAAAGCACUUUUAGUGGGGAUGAAAAGUGCAGAGAUAAUACCUCUGCAUCUUGACCUAAUCCACAGAAAAAGCACCGGCUAACUUUGUGCCAGCAGCCGCGGUCAUAAU
rnacentral:rRNA from 1 species